GACGAACGCUGGCGGCGUGCUUAACACAUGCAAGUCGAACGGAAAGGCCCUGCUUUUGUGGGGUGCUCGAGUGGCGAACGGGUGAGUAACACGUGAGUAACCUGCCCUUGACUUUGGGAUAACUUCAGGAAACUGGGGCUAAUACCGGAUAGGAGCUCCUGCUGCAUGGUGGGGGUUGGAAAGUUUCGGCGGUUGGGGAUGGACUCGCGGCUUAUCAGCUUGUUGGUGGGGUAGUGGCUUACCAAGGCUUUGACGGGUAGCCGGCCUGGGAGGGUGACCGGGCACAUUGGGACUGAGAGAGGGCCCAGACUCCUACGGGAGGCAGCAGUGGGGAAUAUUGCACAAUGGGCGGAAGCCUGAGGCGGCAACGCCGCGUGCGGGAUGACGGCCUUCGGGUUGUAAACCGCUUUCGCCUGUGACGAAGCGUGAGUGACGGUAAUGGGUAAAGAAGCACCGGCUAACUACGUG
rnacentral:rRNA from 1 species